UCUGCUCUGUUCUUCUGAAGUAACAAGAUAAUUAAGUCAUUAAUUAAGAACAGCAGACUUGUUUUAAGGGGAAAUGAUGUCGUUUAUUUAGAAAAACAGACCAAAUUAAUUUUUUAAGAAGAUUAUCUUGUUAGCUCAGUAAAACAGAGCACCUUUUUUCUUUGGACUACAUUUCUGAAUUAACAAGAUAAUUAAGUCGUUAAUGAUAAACAGGCACCUGAGUGUAAUUUAGCGAAGAACACAAGUUAUUAUCUUCGUCAGGUCAGACACUUUAUUUACUUCAUACACACACCCAUGUAUACAAAUAUUUUUCAUUAUUCUCUACAAAGUGUAGUGUGUUUUUGCACCAGAAUGAUUUAACAUGUCUUUAAGAUGUCUGACAUCUUUGUUCUUGUUCUUGUUCUUCCUCUUCUUCUUGCAGCGGUCCAACAACCCGAGUGGCAACUCUGGACAGCAGUAUUUUACUGUGUUUCUGCAUUUGCACAAGUUCUCUUCCCCCGUCCUCACCUGUAACAAGGUAAUGACAGAUUACAAAGGGACAAUAAAAGUGAAUAAGCUUUGCAUAUCCUAUUUUACCAACUUUAAAACAUAUUCAGUGUGUCCCUGUAAGUUCUGGCUAUGAAUAUAAAAAUCUUUAGAGUGCAGUUUAGUUCACUCUCAGUGCCAUCUAUAUAUUUCUUCAUUUGAGCGUUACAUUUCAACAUAAAUGUAUUUUACUGCAAGAACUUCCGGCCAAGUUAAGUUUCUACAGACGUCUUUAGGUUUGUUUUUUAAAGUUGAAUGUCGACAAUUGUUUUACAUUAUAAAGUUUAAGAGGAUCUAAACUGAUGCGUUUUGUUAUCUUACGUCCACCAGUUUCAGUGAAUAACGGAUGAAAACAUUUCCCUGCUCAUGUGACAAUUUUAUAAACUACAUAUAGAUGAUAGAAUAGUUGUAAAGCAAAAUUGCAGGUUUUAUUACGUAUAUUAGGUGAUAUUCUUUAACAUAAAAAGCGAUAUGUCUCAAUCAUUACAAACUAAAACUAAGCUAAGUAUUUUAAUCAGUAUAUACUACUAAGAGAAACUUGCAUACCAACACACGAUAAAAUAAAACAUCUGUUAUAAAUGUUUCUAGGGUAUUCUAAGUUCCAUAAGAAUGAAUGAUAGUUAACAUAUUUUACUAAAAUAACCUCUUUAAGCUCCAGACAUUUGAGGCAAAAUCUUCUGAUUUGACCUUUCAUUUAAAAACCCAGAUAUAUUUUGCACAUAAACUAAAUUAACAUGAUUUGUUACUAGAUUACAUCAAAGGUGAACCUUUUAUUUUUCUGUUCAGGAAGUGAAAUGUCAUGAGAAUCACUCAAAAGAAGAAGGAACAUAUAAAAGGAAGGAAGAACAAGCUUUUAAUAAACAUUCAACUUGCACAGGAAACACCAACACACUUACACAGAAAUAACAGAGACAAGAACGAAUGUGUGAAAUCCUGUGAGCAGUGCCCACUGAACUGGACUCUUCUGUUGAAAUGAAACCUAUGAUGUGUGUCUGUUGCACUGGUGUCUGUGUCAUAUACUGUUCGGAAUAGCAGUGUUUUGUUUGAUGUUUUACAAAAAAAUAAUAAAUAUACUUAUAAUAAAUAUUUUAAAUACAGUCAUAAAUUAUUAAAUAAAUAACAUAUGUAUGGUCUAUAUCUAAACUGAGGGCUGACAUCCAUAAAGGACCUUAUAGGAAAAUGUGGAUAUGUGAGAGCAAACACGGAGCAGAAGCAGACAGAAGCAGCUUCAAAUAACAUCAGUUGGUUACAUUUUUCCAAGGAGUCCACUCGCUCCAGGUUGAGAGCACCAGCGAGUCUCUGGAGCGAACCCUCAGCUUGCUGAUGCUCUUCGGCACCAGUGAAGAUAAAGAGCGGCCAAUCUAAAAUCAGACAGGAAACACCAUGAGGAAACAAAACGAAAGACAGGCAUGAAGAGAUCUCUAGACUUUCUAUCAAUCAUAGCUUGUGUUCACCUUCCCAUCAUCUUUGAACACGUAUUCAAUCUCAUGCUCCAGACCGAAGAAACUGUGAGGCGUGGACCAGCUGGAUGGAGGAUCUAUGGUCACGUUCAGAUCCAAAUCCAACUCCUGACACGUGCCAAUCUGGGGACUGUCAGGUUGAACUUGACAGAAAAAAACAGUAAAACAUAUGAAACAUCAAAGUCUGUCAGGAGAUAAUCAUGAAAGACAAUACUGUGUAAGUAAAUUAACAAAUAUUUGUGCAACAAUUUCAUGACUGCUUAUAUUUGCCACUUUAUCCAGCAUCGUAAAAUACAUGUUUUUGAAAAUAAUUGCAUUUUAUACUUUUAUCUAGCUAUAGUUAGAAUUUCCUUUUUUAAUUUAUCACAAAGCCACUUCACUUUUGUCCUUUGUGAUCAACUCUAUUGUUUAUUUCCAAUCUUGAUAACCUUCUGCUGAAUGCCUUUGUUGUGGCUCAGGUUCACUCAGCUCACCAAUGUCUCGGAGAUAAAAUCUCCUUGUUGUCCUGUGGACAUUGAGGUCAACAAUGGCCUCAGCGGUGAGUUCGAGCAUGGUGCUUUCCUCAGCGUAGGGUGACAGGGAGUGCGACAGCUCAAACUGGAAUCCCCCGUCCCGAUUCUGAUCACCGCUGCUGAUCCAGUGACACAACUUCCCUCCUUCAGUGCUUCAAUGAUGCAAGGAAUGAAUUAGACACUGAUUGAAAUACGUCAUUUGGAAAGCUCUAAUUCUGGCUGUGUCAUAGUUCAUCUUUAUACACUAUAUGUAACAGUGUGGUCUUUCCAGUGUAAAUUGUGUGGUAUUUACCAGUCAUGGCCCAGUCCGACGCGCACUGCUGUGAAUUCACUGUUGCUGAAGAUACAGCUGAAGCUACAGUGAUAAGACUUUGCCAAACAAGUGAUGAGGGAAUCUAUAAAGACACAAUGUGAGUGGAAGCAAAUUGAGUCUUUGGGCAGGAGAUAUCACAGAAUGAAAGACAUUAUUGUUAGAAGUGCAGCAUCAUUCUUUUCAUUUUGAGUUCAUUUUCAGUUUCCUCCUCGAGACUUAGGAAAUAUUCCACCCAGACUGACUGCCCCGUUUAAACUGGCUCUUUGUUCCUCUAUUUGUGACCUAACACUUCUAGACAGUAGAACAGAUGAAAAAUGAAAUAAGCAUCUCACCUAAUUCCUCUUUCUCCUCCACCUCCAGCAGCAGGUGGGUCGAUGAUAACAUCUCGUCUCCUCUCCAGCAGCUGUACUCUCCCAGCAAGGGAAUCUCCACGUAAGUCACGCUCAGAUUUUGACCGACCUGCUGGAUAUUAUCCUCAAUUUCCAACUCGAACCCUUGAAACAUCCACUUGACUUCUCCAUCAUUGUUUGUGCCGCAGGUCAGUGUGACUGGCUCUGCGUCGUUAAAUUUUGCCACAACAACUACACAAACAUGCAGACACACAGGCACAUAGAUCAAGAUCAAUACAUUUAAAACCUCCGAAGAUGUGGAAAAUAUUAGGAGUGAAAAUAUAUGGCUCUAUUAAUAAGACGUACAAUUUUUUGGAAAGUCGUGGAGUACAUUCGCUUCUGUGAGGCUGAUGAGCAGAAGUCCGAAUUUCCACAGAGACAAAUUCAUCUGAGGAAAAGAGAGACAACAAGAGGAGGAGGAGAUUAUUGAACACACGUUACUUUUGUUUAAACGUAAACGAUUAUAAUUAAAACUUAGAAUUAUAACAUAUAAAAUUACGAUUAAUUAUAAGGAUAAACAAACAUUUUAAUUGACUGAAUACUUUUGGUUAAAGAAAAUGGUUAAUAUCAGAAAAGGUAGGUACUGUACUAUUAUUUACCGUAAACAAUCAAGUGCCACAUCAAUUAAUUAAUACAAUUGAAUGAUAAUUAAUAAUAAGUAGAUAGUAGUUAGCUCUUACCAUUUGGAUGAAAUUACAGUCAAGUGAUGCUGAAAAGUGAAGAGCGGAGGUCCAGUUGGAGUGAUCCUGCGAAUUGUUUGCUCUCAAUGUCCACUGAGCUUCAUUUUUAUAUCUUGGCUUUCAUCAUCAUCAGUAUCAACACUGCCAUAGCACCUUGGAGGUGAGAGUGAAACUGCUCAACAGACUUUUCGACAGAGGCAGCGGGAAAUGCAUUUCCUCAGUCCUGUUUUGAAUGUCAAAUUUUGUAAACAGAUAAACAGUGAGUUUCAGACAAGGGACUGAGAGGCGGUGAUAAGAAAUGUUUGGCGUGGGCGUUACAUGGGGGGUUACCCUCAGCCUUUAAGAUGAAAUACUGCUGUAUAUCAGUAUCUGACGAAUACUGUGUCUGAUUAACAAAACUGGAACCACCCCCCCCCCCUCUUCCCAAACACACACACACACACGCACAUCAAUCACAUCCAUACAUUUGAUCUUCUAUCUUUAUGAGAGGCAAAUCUGAUUAGUAUCAUACAUUUAAAGUUGAUCUCAUCUUAAAAGAAUAUAUCUGUGUCAUAUCUUUAUGAACAGACCUAAUGGAAAUUGAGAAGAAAAUUUACAAAAUCCUGAUUGGUCACCAUGAUCUUAUAAUCUUUCUUUUCUGUUGAUUUUAACCUCAUUCUUUUAUAUUUCUUUAUAUAUUAUUCUUACGAGACUAGCUGAGAUGAUUGAUGGUUGAUAAGUGGAAACAUAUCUGCACAUAGGCAGUUUUUGGUAACGAUGAUAUUUCCCUGAUCAAGAUCGUCCUGACCAUUAAUCCUGGACCAUUAAUCCUGGAUUUUCCCCGAAGAUAAUUCAGAACUAUUGUGGCUAACGCAAAGACCGAGAAAAGUGGGUUUCUUUAAGUCGUUCAGAGGUUUUCCCCAUCAUACCACCUUGUGAGGACAUGUGAUGACCUUCAAGUUCCAGGCCAUGCACACACUUCAAACAGAAAAAGAGACGGGCCGACAACUGGACUUCCCCUUCCUGUUACUCAUACAUGAUUCAAUGCCUGCAUGUACAAAUUGGCUUACCUGGAACCUCAUCAUCCUCGUCCUCCUCCUCAGCAGCAACCAUGGGGGCUUUGUUUUCUCCACCUAUGAAGGAAAAUUAAAUGACAGAUUGUUGACAAAGAGCAAACAGACAGGAAUUGAUGCGUGUCAACAUGUCAGCAAAGAGUUUACCUGGUUUGGGAAGGGUCUCUGCUAAUCUCCUGAGGCUGGUGAGACUGUCAGCUCCCAUCUGGUUGAGGAUUGCUGGGAGCAUCUCUGUGAGCUGCUUGUUCUCAGCAUGCCCUGUGAUCGUGAAGGUGUUGGCCGCCAAGGAUGCCUGAACCUUUGGGUUGUUGAA